GACGUAGGGCGCGAGCGUUGUCCGGAUUUAUUGGGCGUAAAGAGCUCGUAGGCGGCUUGUCGCGUCGAAUGUGAAAACUCGGGGCUCAACUCCGAGCUUGCAUUCGAUACGGGCAGGCUAGAGUUCGGUAGGGGAGACUGGAAUUCCUGGUGUAGCGGUGAAAUGCGCAGAUAUCAGGAGGAACACCGGUGGCGAAGGCGGGUCUCUGGGCCGUAACUGACGCUGAGGAGCGAAAGCAUGGGGAGCGAACAGG
rnacentral:rRNA from 1 species